rnacentral:piRNA from 1 species
UCCCAUCACAUGACUAAUAGUAACUAAGACA